AACGCACAUUGCGCUCCCUGGUAUUCCGGGGAGCAUGCCCGUUUCAGAAUCAUUAAAAUCUCACAAACCUCGGUUUCUUCGGAGAACGGGAGGCGUGGAUUUGGGUGCUUUUGCGGCUUUGCCAGCGAUGCACCUGUAAAUGAUUGUGACGUGCGCCAAUUGUCUUGUCAACUGGUCGUCCGAAGCGCAACAGAUUCAUCUAUUCGUUUUGGUCGUCUGCUGGCUGAUUUGGAGGCACGGGACUCAACUUAUCAACCGGGGUCCUGCGGUUUUGCAGGACUUGCUGAUAACUUGGUCUGAAAUCGGGCAAGAAAACCCGCUGAACUUAA
rnacentral:misc_RNA from 1 species